UACGUAGGGUGCAGGCGUUAAUCGGAAUUACUGGGCGUAAAGCGUGCGCAGGCGGUCUGCUAAGACAGGUGUGAAAUCCCCGGGCUUAACCUGGGAACUGCGCUUGUUACUGGCAGGCUGGAGUGUGGCAGAGGGGGGUGGAAUUCCGCGUGUAGCAGUGAAAUGCGUAGAGAUGUGGAGGAACACCGAUGGCGAAGGCAGCCCCCUGGGCUAACACUGACGCUCAUGCACGAAAGCGUGGGGAGCAAACAGG
rnacentral:rRNA from 1 species